UACGUAGGGCGCAAGCGUUGUCCGGAAUUAUUGGGCGUAAAGGGUGCGUAGGCGGUUUGGUAAGUCUUAUGUGAAAUCUACAGGCUCAACUUGUAGUCUGCAUGAGAAACUGCCGGGCUUGAGUAUGGGAGAGGUGAGUGGAAUUCCUGGUGUAGCGGUGAAAUGCGUAGAUAUCAGGAGGAACACCUGUGGCGAAAGCGGCUCACUGGACCAUAACUGACGCUGAGGAGCGAAAGCGUGGGGAGCGAACAGG
rnacentral:rRNA from 1 species